CCCUUGCUCCCCUCCUCCUUCCCGCGCUGUGAGCCGGAAGUGAUCGCCCUCGACCGUUAGGGUGACCCGGAAGCGGAAGUCAAAGGGGAGAGAUGCGCCUGCGAGCGGAGGGGCCGCAGCGGAGCGGAGAGGAACGGAGCCGCCGUCACUCGGCCAUGACUUCUGGGCAUCUGCUCAUCCUUGGACAGAGAUCAUUGUGGAAUGAGGACGGAAGGGAGCAUCCCGAUGCCGGCCCAUUGCAUCCCAGCCUACCCCAGCGUGAGACAAUCCAGCCCUGUGUGCAGGCCCUGGUUUCUCUGGUGUUUUCUAACUGUGCUGUUCUUCUGCUGAGGGUCUCUUAUCCGAACACAGCAGCCUUACGGCACGCUUUGCAGCCCAUAAUACUGUAUUCAUCGUACUCGCAGCGAUUAUAGUUUUACAAGUGAGAAGUGAUUGCGUCGUUUGAGAAGUGUAUUUUUGCAGUAUGUUUGUGAA